rnacentral:lncRNA from 1 species
AUCUAACCACCACAACUCAAGUCAUCUCUCUAACCUGAGCAUUUAGGUUCGGCUACUAUACAGGCUCGAUAUGAAAUUUCACCAAAACUUUCAUAUCCGACUCUUUAGAGUCUCAUCUUAAACUAAUUAAGGCGACUUUAAAUUAUAUCAACACUUCAUUCAUAACAUAUAUGAACAAAAUAAUCAUAUUACAACUACUCAAGUUUAAUAUGAUUAUCUAGUCUCAUCCUGCUCACCACUUAGGUGCCAGGGCGAUCACCCGUGUGA